AGCGAACGCUGGCGGCAUGCCUAACACAUGCAAGUCGAACGAGACCCCCUGACUUCGGUUGGCGGGUCUAGUGGCGCACGGGUGCGUAACGCGUGGGAAUCUGCCCUUGGGUUCGGAAUAACUCAGAGAAAUUUGAGCUAAUACCGGAUGAUGACGAAAGUCCAAAGAUUUAUCGCCCAGGGAUGAGCCCGCGUAAGAUUAGCUUGUUGGUGGGGUAAUGGCCUACCAAGGCGACGAUCUUUAGCUGGUCUGAGAGGAUGAUCAGCCAUACUGGGACUGAGACACGGCCCAGACUCCUACGGGAGGCAGCAGUGGGGAAUAUUGGACAAUGGGCGCAAGCCUGAUCCAGCAAUGCCGCGUGAGUGAUGAAGGCCUUAGGGUUGUAAAGCUCUUUUACCAGGGAUGAUAAUGACAGUACCUGGAGAAUAAGACUCCGGCUAACUCCGUGCCAGCAGCCGCGGUAAUGUACAGUGU
rnacentral:rRNA from 1 species